GUGAUAUUGGGUGGUGACAUUGGGUGAUAUUAUUGGGGUGGUGAUGUUGGGGUGGUGUCAUUGGGGUGGUGACGUUGGGGUGUAUAUUGGGGUGGUGAUAUUGGGGUGGUGAUGUUGGGUGGUGAUAUUUGGGGUGGUGGCAUUGGGUGGUGACAUUGGGUGGUGUCAUUGGGGUGGUGAUAUUUGGGGUGGUGGCAUUGGGUCGUGUCAUUGGGGUGGUGAUAUUGGGGUGGUGUCGUUGGGUGGUGACAUUGGGGUGGUGAUGUUGGGGUGCUGACAUUGGGUGGUGUCAUUGGGGUGGAGGUAUUGGGGUGGUGACGUUGGGGUGGUGAUGGUGGGUGAUAUUAUUGGGGUGGCGGUGUUGGGGUGGUGACGUUGGGUUGGUUAUAUUGGGGUGGUGACAUUGGGUGGUGUCAUUGGGGUGGUGAUAUUUGGGGUGGUGAUAUAUGGGGUGGUGGCAUUGGGAUGGUGACAUUGGGUGGUGAUAUUGGGGUGGUGAUAUUUGGGGUGGUGAUAUAUGGGGUGGUGGCAUUGGGUGGUGACAUUGGGUGGUGUCAUUGGGGUGGUUAUAUUGGGGUGGUGUCAUUGGGUGGUGACAUUGGGAUGGUGAUAUUGGGUUGGUGACAUUGGGGUGGUGAUGUUGGGGUGCUGACAUUGGGUGGUGUCAUUGGGGUGGAGGUAUUGGGGUGGUGACGUUGGGGUGGUGAUGGUGGGUGAUAUUAUUGGGGUGGUGGUGUUGGGGUGGAGGUAUUGGGGUGGUGUCGUUGGCUGUGACAUGGGAUGGUGAUAUUGGGGUGGUGUCAUUGGGUGGUGACAUUGGGGUGAUAUUGGGGUGGUGAUAUUUGGGGUGGCAACAUUGGGUGGAGAUAUUGGGGUGGUGAUGUUGAGGUGGUGAUGUUGGAGUGGUGACAUUGGGUGAUAUUAUUGGGGUGGUGACGUUGGGUGGUGUCAUUGGGUGGUGACAUUGGGGUGGUGAUAUUUGGGGUGGUGAUAUAUGGGGUGGUGGCAUUGGGUGGUGACAUUGGGUGGUGAUGUUGGGGUGGUGACAUUGGGGUGGUGAUGGUGGGGUGGUGACGUUGGGUGGUGUCAUUGGGGUGGUUAUAUUGGGGUGGUGAUAUUGGGGUGGUGACAUUGGUCACUGGUGGGGUGUCACCAUGGUGGUGUCACUGGGGUGGUGUCACUGGGGUGGUGUCACCAUGGUGGUGACAAUGCUGGUGUGUCUCCUGCGUGGCGUCACCGUCCCGGCUGCGGUCUGCCCCCCGCGCCGCCCCACGGAGGCCCCACUGUCACACAGCCAUUGUUGGUGCCACAGCGCCGCCCCGUUGUCCCCGCAGAGAGCCGUCUGUCCCUACUGCUGUCGCUGUCCCUGCUGGGCUCCGUCACCGCGCUGGCGGCGGCCGCGUGGGGCGUUUAUUACAUGAAGAGCACCGCCUGUAAGAAGGGAGAGUACAACGUGCGCGACGCCGAGGGCUCCUCCGAGGCCGCCCGCCUACACCGGGGGGACAGCGGGGGGCAGCGGGAGCUGUUCGGGAUCCCCCUCACCCCCACCUGAGGGACGGCGACGCCCCGCGCCCCCCCCGGGGAAGGGGGAGGUGGGGACGCCCCGCCCGAGGGGGGGCGGUGGCGGUGGGUGGCACCGCGCUGUCUGCGAGGAGGUGUGGUGGCUGUCGUCCUUUGUUGUCCCCAAGGAACGGUGUUGGAUGUCAACGUGUUGUCCCCAACAAAUGGUGUUGGAUGUCCUCAAGGAAUGGCGUUGGAUGCCACCGUAUUGUCUCCAAAGAAUGGCAUUGGAUGUCACUGUAUUGUCCACAAUGGAACAUUGUUGGAUGUCCCCAAGGAAUGGCGUUGGAUGUCACCGUAUUGUCUCCAAGGAACGGCGUUGGAUGGCCUCAGUGAAUGGUGUUGGUGUCACCGUAUUGUCCCCAAGGAACAGCGUUGGAUGUCACCAUAUUGUCCCCAAAGAAUGGCAUUGGAUGUCACUGUAUUGUCUCCAAGGAACGGCAUUGGAUGUCACCGUAUUGUCCCCAAAGAAUGGCAUUGGAUGUCAACGUAUUGUCCCCAAGGAACGGUGUUGGAUGUCACCGUAUUGUCCCCAACAAAUGGUGUUGGAUGUCCUCAAGGAAUGGUGUUGGUGUCACCGUAUUGUCCCCAAGGAACGGUGUUGGACGUCCCCAAGGAACAGCGUUGGAUGUCACCGUAUUGUCCCCAACAAAUGGUGUUGGAUGUCACCGUGUUGUCCCCAAGGAACAGCAUUGGAUGUCACCAUACUGUCCCCAAGGAAUGACACUGAAUGUCACCGUAUUGUCCCCAAGGAACAGCGUUGGAUGUCACUGUGCUGUCCCCAAGGAGCGGUGUUGGUGUCACCAUAUUGUCCCCAACAAAUGGUGUUGGAUGUCACCAUAUUGUCCCCAAGGAACAGUGUUAGACGUCCCCAAGGAACAGCGUUGGAUGUCACCGUAUUGUCCCCAAGGAAUGGUGUUGGAUGUCACCGUGUUGUCCCCAAGGAACGGUGUUGUUGGAUGUCUUCAAUGAAUGGUGUUGGUGACACCGUAUUGUUCCCAAGGAACAGUGUUGGAUGUCACCGUGUUGUCCCCAAGGAAAGGUGUUGGAUGUCCUCAAGGAAUGGUGUUGGAUGUCACCAUAUUGUCCCCAAGGAACAGUGUUGGAUGUCACCAUAUUGUCCCCAACAAAUGGUGUUGGAUGUCCUCAAGGAAUGGUGUUGGUGUCACCGUAUUGUCUCCAAAGAAUGGCAUUGGAUGUCACCAUAUUAUCCCCAAGGAACGGCGUUGGAUGUCACCAUAUUGUCCCCAAGGAACAUUGUUGGAUGUCCUCAAGGAACAGCAUUGGAUGUCACCGUAUUGUCUCCAAGGAACGGCGUUGGAUGUCCUCAAGGAAUGGUGUUGGUGACACCAUAUUGUCCUCAAGGAACGGCGUGGGAUGUCACUGUGUUGUCCCCAACAAAUGGUGUUGGAUGUCCCCAAGGAACGGCGUUGGAUGUCACCGUAUUGUCCCCAAGGAACGGCGUUGGAUGUCUUUAAUGAAUGGUGUUGGUGACACCAUAUUGUCCCCAAGGAACGGUGUUGUUGGAUGUCCUCAAGGAAUGGUGUUGGUGUCACCGUAUUGUCCCCAAGGAACGGCAUUGGAUGUCACCAUAAUGUCCCCAACAAAUGGUGUUGGAUGUCCCCAAGGAACGGUGUUGGAUGUCACCGUAUUGUCCCCAAGAAACACUGUUGGAUGUCCCCAAGGAACAGCAUUGGAUGUCCCCAAGGAAUGGUGUUGGAUGUCCUCAAGGAAUGGUGUUGGUGACACCAUAUUGUCCCCAAGGAACAUUGUUGGAUGUCCCCAAGGAAUGGCAUUGGAUGUCACCGUAUUGUCCCCAAGGAGCGGUGUUGGAGUCACCAUAUUGUCCCCAAGGAAUGGCACUGGAUGUCACCGUGCUGUCCCCAAGGAAUGGUGUUGGUGUCACCAUAUUGUCCCCAAGGAGCGGUGUUGGUGUCACCGUAUUGUCCCCAAGGAACAGUGUUGGAUGUCACCGUGCUGUCCCCAAGGAAUGGCACUGAAUGGCACCAUAUUAUCCCCAAAGAACAGCGUUGGUGUCACCGUGCUGUCCCCAAGGAAUGAUGUUGGGUGUCACCAUAUUGUCCCCAAGGAGCGGUGUUGGAUGUCCUCAAGGAAUGGUGUUGGUGUCACCGUAUUGUCCCCAAGGAAUGACACUGAAUGUCACCGUAUUGUCCCCAAGGAACGGCGUUGGAUGUCACCGUGCUGUCCCCAAGGAGCAGUGUUGGUGUCACCAUAUUGUCCCCAAGGAAUGGCAUUGGAUGUCACCAUAUUGUCCCCAAGGAACGGUGUUGGUGUCACCGUGCUGUCCCCAAGGAGUGGCAUUGAGUGUCACCAUAUUGUCCCUAAGGAAUGAUGUUGGGUGUCACCAUACUGUCCCCAAGGAGCGGUGUUGGUGUCACCGUAUUUCCCCAAGGAACAGCGUUGGAUGUCACCAUAAUGUCCCCAAGGAAUGACACUGAAUGUCACCAUAUUGUCCCCAAGGAAUGGCGUUGGAUGUCACCAUAUUGUCCCCAAGGAGCAGUGUUGGAUGUCCUCAAGGAAUGGCAUUGGGUGUCACCGUAUUGUCCCCAAGGAACAGCGUUGGAUGUCACCAUACUGUCCCCAAGGAAUGACACUGAAUGUCACUGUAUUGUCCCUAAGGAAUGAUGUUGGGUGUCACCAUGCUGUCCCCAAUGAGCGGUGUUGGUGUCCCCAUACUGUCCCCAAGGAAUGGCGUUGGAUGUCCCAUACUGUCCCCAAGGAAUGACACUGAAUGUCACCAUACUGUCCCCAAGGAGCAGUGUUGGUGUCCCCAUACUGUCCCCAAGGAAUGGUGUUGGUGUCCCCAUACUGUCCCCAAGGAAUGAC
ensembl:lncRNA